GACGAACGCUGGCGGCGUGCCUAAUACAUGCAAGUCGAACGAACUCUGGUAUUGAUUGGUGCUUGCAUCAUGAUUUACAUUUGAGUGAGAGGCGAACUGGUGAGUAACACGUGGGAAACCUGCCCAGAAGCGGGGGAUAACACCUGGAAACAGAUGCUAAUACCGCAUAACAACUUGGACCGCAUGGUCCGAGUUUGAAAGAUGGCUUCGGCUAUCACUUUUGGAUGGUCCCGCGUCGUAUUAGCUAGAUGGUGGGGUAACGGCUCACCAUGGCAAUGAUACGUAGCCGACCUGAGAGGGUAAUCGGCCACAUUGGGACUGAGACACGGCCCAAACUCCUACGGGAGGCAGCAGUAGGGAAUCUUCCACAAUGGACGAAAGUCUGAUGGAGCAACGCCGCGUGAGUGAAGAAGGGUUUCGGCUCGUAAAACUCUGUUGUUAAAGAAGAACAUAUCUGAGAGUAACUGUUCAGGUAUUGACGGUAUUUAACCAGAAAGCCACGGCUAACUACGUGCCAGCAGCCGCGGUAAUACGUAGGUGGCAAGCGUUGUCCGGAUUUAUUGGGCGUAAAGCGAGCGCAGGCGGUUUUUUAAGUCUGAUGUGAAAGCCUUCGGCUCAACCGAAGAAGUGCAUCGGAAACUGGGAAACUUGAGUGCAGAAGAGGACAGUGGAACUCCAUGUGUAGCGGUGAAAUGCGUAGAUAUAUGGAAGAACACCAGUGGCGAAGGCGGCUGUCUGGUCUGUAACUGACGCUGAGGCUCGAAAGUAUGGGUAGCAAACAGGAUUAGAUACCCUGGUAGUCCAUACCGUAAACGAUGAAUGCUAAGUGUUGGAGGGUUUCCGCCCUUCAGUGCUGCAGCUAACGCAUUAAGCAUUCCGCCUGGGGAGUACGGCCGCAAGGCUGAAACUCAAAGGAAUUGACGGGGGCCCGCACAAGCGGUGGAGCAUGUGGUUUAAUUCGAAGCUACGCGAAGAACCUUACCAGGUCUUGACAUACUAUGCAAAUCUAAGAGAUUAGACGUUCCCUUCGGGGACAUGGAUACAGGUGGUGCAUGGUUGUCGUCAGCUCGUGUCGUGAGAUGUUGGGUUAAGUCCCGCAACGAGCGCAACCCUUAUUAUCAGUUGCCAGCAUUAAGUUGGGCACUCUGGUGAGACUGCCGGUGACAAACCGGAGGAAGGUGGGGAUGACGUCAAAUCAUCAUGCCCCUUAUGACCUGGGCUACACACGUGCUACAAUGGAUGGUACAACGAGUUGCGAACUCGCGAGAGUAAGCUAAUCUCUUAAAGCCAUUCUCAGUUCGGAUUGUAGGCUGCAACUCGCCUACAUGAAGUCGGAAUCGCUAGUAAUCGCGGAUCAGCAUGCCGCGGUGAAUACGUUCCCGGGCCUUGUACACACCGCCCGUCACACCAUGAGAGUUUGUAACACCCAAAGUCGGUGGGGGUAACCUUUUAGGAACCAGCCGCCUAAGGUGGGACAGAUGAUUAGGGUG
rnacentral:rRNA from 1 species